rnacentral:rRNA from 1 species
GUACACGCUGUGACUAGCAUAUCAAUAAGCGGAGGAAAAGAAACUAACUAGGAUUCCCCUAGUAACGGCGAGUGAAGCGGGAAGAGCUCAAAUUUGAAAUCUUAAAGGGUUUCCCUUUACGAAUUGUAGUUUAAAGAAGUGUUUUCUGUUGAGGUUUUGGUAAAAGUUCUUUGGAAUAGGACAUCAUAGAGGGUGAGAAUCCCGUAUUUGACCUUUACUUUCAACUUUGUGAUACACUUUCAAAGAGUCGGAUUGUUUGGGAAUGCAGUCCAAAAUGGGUGGUAAAUUUCAUCUAAAGCUAAAUAUUGGCGAGAGACCGAUAGCGAACAAGUACCGUGAGGGAAAGAUGAAAAUGAACUUUGAAAAGAGAGUUAAACAGUACGUGAAAUUGUCAAAAGGGAAGCGUUUGACACCAGUGUUGUUUUUCUGAAAAUCAAUUAAAGAACUGUUUAUGCUAAGUUGUUUAGACUUUAUCAGCUAACUGUUUAGUUUUGAGCUUUUCUUUAAUGCACUUUUCAGUUAACAAGUCAACAUCAAUUUCUUUUGCUGUAAAAAAGCUUGAGGAAGGUGGCUUGAGAUUCGUCUUAAGUGUUUAUAGCCUCUUGCCUAUGCAGUCGGAGAGAUUGAGGUCUGCAGCGUAGAUCCUUCGGGGCUAAAUGCAUUUGUGCUAAGUUAUAGCAUUUUAUAGACAACUUGUUGACUAUGAUUUGUCUUGUAGCUUACUCGCUUAUGUUAUUUUACCUACGCUUAGGAUGUUGAGUCGUAGAGCACGCAG